AGCAGCCGCGGUAAUUCCAGCUCCAAUAGCGUAUAUUAAAGUUGUUGCAGUUAAGAAGCUCGUAGUUGAAUUUCGGGAUCAAUACGUCGGUCGUGCUUCGGUACGUACUGGCGUCAUUGAUUUCUCCCUUCUGACGAACCAUGAUGUCAUUAACUUGGUGUCAUGGGAAAUCAGGACUGUUACUUUGAAAAAAUUAGAGUGUUUAAAGCAGGCUCACGCUUGAAUACACUAGCAUGGAAUAAUGAAAUAGGACGUUUGAUCCUAUUUUGUUGGUUUCUAGGAUUGACGUAAUGAUUAAUAGGGAUAGUUGGGGGCAUUAGUAUUCAAUUGUCAGAGGUGAAAUUCUUGGAUUUAUUGAAGACUAACUACUGCGAAAGCAUUUGCCAAGGAUGUUUUCAUUAAUCAAGAACGAAAGUUAGGGGAUCGAAGACGAUCAGAUACCGUCGUAGUCUUAACCAUAAACUAUGCCGACUAGGGAUCGGAUGAUGUUAAUUUUUAAUGACUCAUUC
rnacentral:rRNA from 1 species